rnacentral:rRNA from 1 species
CCUACGGGCGGCAGCAGUGGGGGAUAUUGCACAAUGGGGGGAACCCUGAUGCAGCGACGCCGCGUGGGUGAAGAAGCGCCUCGGCGCGUAAAGCCCUGUUAGCAGGGAAGAAAAUGACGGUACCUGAAGCAGAAGCCCCGGCUAACUACGUGCCAGCAGCCGCGGCAAUACGUAGGGGGCAAGCGUUAUCCGGAUUUACUGGGUGUAAAGGGGGCGCAGUCGGCGAUGCAAGCCAGGAGUGAAAGCCCGGGGCCCAACCCCGGGACUGCUCGUGGAACUGCGUGGCUGGAGUGCAGGAGGGGCAGGCGGAAUGCCUGGUGUAGCGGUGAAAUGCGUAGAGAUCAGGAGGAACACCGGUGGCGAAGGCGGCCUGCUGGACUGCAACUGACGUUGAGGCCCGAAAGCGUGGGUAGCAAACAGGAUUAGAUACCCCAGUAGUC